ACAUUUGAGCUGUCAUACAUUCAGCUGUACUGAAGUCAGGGAGCUGCAGCUCCUAUCAAAACUCUCUUGAGGUUCUGUGUCUGUCAUUUUAGACAUUCAGGCAAAGAUGAGAUAAAGAAUUACAAGGAAUUACUAUCACUUCUGCAAGUAUUAUUGGUACUCCUCUCAUCUUCUCGAAGGACUACAGGAUCAAAAUGGUCCCAGCUGAUCAUUACCAAAAAACAAUAUGACACCAGAAAGGAGGGAGAAAGAAGACACUAGGAAGGGCAUGGCUCACUUCUCACUCACACUAGCCAGAAAAGGAGGUGCCGAAAUAACCUAAAGAGGCUGUGCAGCCUGGCUGGAAGAGAGAAGAGAAGUUCAGCAAGUUCAGUGAGAGCGGCUGUUCCUGUGAGGUUUCCAGCUGAAGGGCCUUAACCAGGAUGACACUAAUUCUGCAGAUCUCAUUCUUCUCAUUUGUGAAACUCAGAGAAGUUUCAGGUUUUACUACGCCUGUCUUGGUCAUGACAGCAGCACGCAGUAGAAGAUGGAAUUUUGGCUUUCAUGGUAGCCAAAGAAUCGUGGUGUCUCUACAUAACUGCUGAUCCUCUUUCUUUCCAUGGAGCCAUUCUGAACUCUAUACCCUCAUUCUAGCCAUCCAAUCUCACUUUCCAAAGCACUUCACUUUUGUCGAUUAGUUGUUGUUUUAAAGUGAUACUGUGAAAAGAUGGGAAAAGAGAAUACAUUCAAGAGAGGUUUUUCGUAGUAAUUUUUUACAUAGUCAGCGCAGUGCUUUUCUUCACAGGUCAUUCCAUUUUUAUUUAUUUAUUUAUUUAUUUAUUUAUUUUCUAGAGAAUAAAACAUUCCUCAGGACAUAUUUAUCUGAGGAUCACUACUUUCCUAAAAUAUAGCUUCUCUUCUGAUUGUAGUAUCAUAGUCAGUAUAGAAGUCUACUAACUACUGGAAAUUUUUUAAUUUCUUCUUUUUUAAAUAUAAUAGCUUUUGAAUUAUAAACAAUUUAGAAUAAGUAAAGUAUGAUUUACUACUUAGUGACUGAGUGCAGUUGUACCUGUAAGCAACAGAAUGUGCAGUAAUCAUAAAAAUGCUCACAAAAUAUAAUCAGCUCACCAAAAAAAAAAAAAAAAUGGAACGGGUAUAGUUAUUUGAUAUCAAAAGACACUAGCAUGGAUAUCUUUGUUUGGCUUCUUAACUAUAGCCCAGAGCAAUGUAAUAUCCAUAAAGAUUUAUGAAAUAUGUGAGAUAAUCAGAUAUUUAGGAGUUUAUAUGUUCUGAUCUUUUGUGUUCUCAUCUUUUGCACUUUAAUACUCCUAUGAUUUCAUUAACAUGCUGUAACUCUGUAAUGCUCAUUUGUUAGUCUUUCCAGGGAGAACUCUGUUUUAUACAAGACAGCUAACAAAACUGUAAUUAAUCAAUUACCUGAAUUAAUACAUUAUGCCUUUUAAAAUUCUUCCUUAAAAGGUAGGAACAUUGCCACAAUGCCUGAACAAUCCGAACUAUAGUAAGGCAACCAGCAUGACAUCCUCUUGCACUUUCCUGUAUUGGAUCAAUGUUACCUAUAUCCAGUUAUUUGUUAUCUGUAACAGUUUUUUCUUUUAUUAUAUUGGGAUUAUAAGUCUUCUGGAACUAAGAUAGAAUAGACACCACCUUUAUAGGGCUAAGACCAUGGUGGAAGACAGGAUGAAAGAAGACAAUUAGCACAGUGGUUGGUGAACAGAAGUUCUUUAUUAUAUGAAAAUAGCAGUGACAAUAUCAUCUUUUAUUAUGUUGUUUUAAAAGCAUUCAUCCUGCACAGAACAGACACAAAUGCAAUGAGAUACAGUGAAGAGGUUUUUGAUCCAUAUUGAACGGCAUGGUAAUGUGUCCCCUGUUCCUCCCAAAAGGCAGAAGACCCUUGUGAAGGAAUGAUGUCUUAUCAGUCUUCCCUUAGCCUACUGACUGGCUACUGAAUUCAGUUCACCACACUAAUGGGAACUGUGUAUGUUAUAUAUUUAUAUAUAUAUAUGUUUAACUUUUUGAGGUCCCAAUCAUGAUGCUAGGCAUUAAAGGCAGUAUUUACCUAAAUCUAGGCAUUUAGUGUCAUUUUUAGUGCUGUGGGAUAUCCUGCAUGUCUUCCAGCUUCCACUACAGAGGGAUAUGUAUUUCCCUGAGGUCUCUGUGUCAUAUCUGCUGAUGCCGUGUAGAUUUCUUGGAUACUUUGGGUCAUCUCAGAUGGCCUUCAGCACCUGUGUUUAGGUAAAUGAACCCCACAAGGCGGCCUUAUUUUGGCAUGCUGGUCUGGGAUUCUUGUAAGCACAGUCUUUGGCCUGAGUAUUACCUUUGGCUUCUUUACAGAGAUACUAUGUCUUCUGUCAUUUACUAUUUUUGUGAUCCAUUUCUGAAGAGGUUUUAAAGUGGAGAAUGUAACAUUUCACUGAAUUUCGGCAUGAUCUGAAUGUAGUUUCCUUAUUCUUUGCUUAGCCUCCAACUUAAGGCCUUUUGGUUUGGAGCUGUCUCUUUUUAUUUGCUUCAUAAAUCAUCUUGCUUGCUUUUGGAUAAGAUAAAAUGUUAUUUACAAUGUUAGUAUUAUUUCCUGAAACACGCAAAUGAUUGUUUAGCUCUUACAGUCUCUAGUGAGUUAUUUGUAAAAUAUUAUGUUUGCUAUUGGAGAAGUUUAGCUUUCUUUUCUAGGAAACAACUCUGGAGAAAGGGGUGAAAGUGAGUAUUUUAUGAGUAUGUUGCAUUGAAGUUAGUGAUAAGCCAGGUAUACGUUGGAAAAUUCCUUUCAUCCAGUUAAAAGAAAAUAGGAAAUCAAGAAAUGAAUUAUUCUAGUAAUUCAUUUGAGCUAAAUAAUUGU